rnacentral:sRNA from 1 species
AGAAAAGUAGGUGCCGCCCCGCACAGGGGCGACGCUUGAAGCACGCUAACGUAACGCGGAUGCCAGCGCAAACCCAAAGCAAAACCCAAAGCAAACC